rnacentral:rRNA from 1 species
UCUUCGAGUCGUUGAUUUCACACUGCCGAGAAAAGCCUCUAGAUAGAAAAUAGGUGCCCGUACCGCAAACCGACACAGGUAGUCAAGAUGAGAAUUCUAAGGUGAGCGAGCGAACUCUCGUUAAGGAACUCGGCAAAAUGACCCCGUAACUUCGGGAGAAGGGGUGCUCUUUAGGGUUAACGCCCAGAAGAGCCGCAGUGAAUAGGCCCAAGCGACUGUUUAUCAAAAACACAGGUCUCUGCUAAACCGUAAGGUGAUGUAUAGGGGCUGACGCCUGCCCGGUGCUGGAAGGUUAAGAGGAGUGGUUAGCUUCUGCGAAGCUACGAAUCGAAGCCCCAGUAAACGGCGGCCGUAACUAUAACGGUCCUAAGGUAGCGAAAUUCCUUGUCGGGUAAGUUCCGACCCGCACGAAAGGCGUAACGAUUUGGGCACUGUCUCAACGAGAGACUCGGUGAAAUCAUAGUACCUGUGAAGAUGCAGGUUACCCGCGACAGGACGGAAAGACCCCGUGGAGCUUUACUGUAGCCUGAUAUUGAAAUUCGGCACAGCUUGUACAGGAUAGGUAGGAGCCUUUGAAACGUGAGCGCUAGCUUACGUGGAGGCGCUGGUGGGAUACUACCCUAGCUGUGUUGGCUUUCUAACCCGCACCACUUAUCGUGGUGGGAGACAGUGUCAGGCGGGCAGUUUGACUGGGGCGGUCGCCUCCUAAAAGGUAACGGAGGCGCUCAAAGGUUCCCUCAGAAUGGUUGGAAAUCAUUCAUAGAGUGUAAAGGCAUAAGGGAGCUUGACUGCGAGACCUACAAGUCGAGCAGGGUCGAAAGACGGACUUAGUGAUCCGGUGGUUCCGCAUGGAAGGGCCAUCGCUCAACGGAUAAAAGCUACCCCGGGGAUAACAGGCUUAUCUCCCCCAAGAGUUCACAUCGACGGGGAGGUUUGGCACCUCGAUGUCGGCUCAUCGCAUCCUGGGGCUGUAGUCGGUCCCAAGGGUUGGGCUGUUCGCCCAUUAAAGCGGUACGCGAGCUGGGUUCAGAACGUCGUGAGACAGUUCGGUCCCUAUCCGUCGUGGGCGUAGGAAAUUUGAGAGGAGCUGUCCUUAGUACGAGAGGACCGGGAUGGACAUACCUCUGGUGUACCAGUUGUCGUGCCAACGGCAUAGCUGGGUAGCUAUGUGUGGACGGGAUAAGUGCUGAAAGCAUCUAAGCAUGAAGCCCCCCUCAAGAUGAGAUUUCCCAACUUCGGUUAUAAGAUCCCUCAAAGAUGAUGAGGUUAAUAGGUUCGAGGUGGAAGCAUGGUGACAUGUGGAGCUGACGAAUACUAAUCGAUCGAAGACUUAAUCAAAA